ACUGAGAAAGAGCUUGAAGUGCAGCCUGAUCAAAUCAUUACGCCAGAAGAUCUUACGUGAAAUUUCUAUUCUCAGCUCAUGGCCACAUCUUAGAAUGGAGGCAUUUCAUAGAAUAGUCAUUUGAGAAGGAGUAGAAGAGGGCAUGAACUCCAGCACUUCCGUCAUUUGGAAGAGAAUACCAAGGUUUUCCUUAGGCACUCUUCUGCCCCAUUUUGCCCCUUUUUGGUGGCGCCCUUGAUUAGGAGGCUGUGUGGUACAUUGGAAAAAGUAUGGGCUCUGGAGUAACAGGAACUGAGUUCAAAUCUCUCUUCUGAAACAAUGGCAAAUCAAGAUGGGCAUUUUGACUUUUACAGGCUUGACUUUAGUCAUCUGCCAAAUGAGUCGGGGUUGGACAAGAUGCCCUUGAAGUACCUUCCAACUCUGGAUCUGUGGUUGAUGAUCAUUUCUUUCAGCAACAGAGUGGCGUCAUGGAAGAAGGGCUGGAUUUGCUCCUAGAAUCAAGUACUGACUGCCACUUUCUCAAGCCCUUACUAGGAAAGUUGAACUGGAUGUCCUCUGAAGUUCUUUCUGGCUCAAAAUCUUUGAUCCCAAGACAUUAAUCUAAAUGAACACAGGAUCUGAAGGAUGUUCUGAGAAAUACAAUGUCCAAAAUGAGGGAACUCUAUUCAGACCAUACCUGGAAUACUAUUUUCAGUUCUGGGUAUCACAUUUUCUGAAGGCAUUGAUGAACUGGAAAGCAUCCAGAAAAUGGUAAAUAGAAUGGUGAGGGGACUUUAAACCACAUUCUAUAAGGAUCAAUGAGGACAGAAGAACAUCUUCAAGUAUUUUAAUGACUGUCCUUUGGAAUCCAUUCAAGUAUAAGCUGAAGAAUUACUUCCUACAGAAGUAUUUUCCUGAUCCUGUCUUUGAGCUUGGGAACAAAGGCUGUGGAGUAAGAGAUAAUGGCUAUUUCUAACACAAAGGCAAAGAGAAGCAAAGGUUCAAAGCAAAUGUUUGGAUAUCAAAUGACUUCAAAUGGCUCUGAGGAAACAACAUUUUGAUGAAUUUAACUCCAAUGAAUCAGAAACAUGUAGUCUGGAUUUCUACAAAAAGAGGUUCAGCUUGGGAAAAAAUGGAAGAAAAAGACAUCUAGGAACUAAUUCUGGGGAACUGUGAAUCCAUAUCACCAAUAUGAGAGGUUAUUUGAAAUAGCUCUCUUCUUCCUUUUCUAUCCCCAUUGCUCACCCAGGUUCCUCAUGCCUCUUCUUUGCUUUUCUCACAUUCCUGCAACCAAUUUCUUAGUGAGACCUCAAAUUCAGAUCAGGUAUGUUGGGAGUUUAUCUGAAACUCAAACUUUUAUACUUGAAAAUGUAAAAAGUCUCAAGGAUGAUGCUAGGCUUUGCUUUUCUCUUCUUUAAAAUGAAGGAGUUGAAGAAGAUAAUUUGUACCAUUCCUUCUAGCUUGAAAACAUUAAUCCAUUGGUGCCCUGUUACUCCUGGAAAUUGUGCCUAGCCAUUGCUAUUGCCUAGACUUACUAUAAAGUCUCCUAGAUUUAGAGUUGGAAGACCUGAGUUCACAACUUAGUUCUGCCAGGUAUAACCUUUAUGACCUUGGGCAAAUCACCCAAGUUCUCUGUGCCUCAGUUUCCUCAUAUGUAAGAUGAGAGAAUAAGACUAGAUAGCCUGUAAGGCUCAUUUCAGAUCAGGAUGCUCAAUAGUUUCUAUGUCCCUUAUUUCCUAACUGUUGUUCAGUCAUUUUUCAGCUAUGUCUAACUCUUCACCAUCCCAUUUUGAGAUUACUUGGCAAAGACAUUGGAGUGGUUUAUCAUUUCCUUCUCCAGCUCAUUUUAUAGAAGAAGAAACUGAGGCAAAUUGGGUUAAAUGACUUGUCCAGGGUCAUUUGGGUAAUAAAUGUCUAUGGUUACAUUUGAACUCAGGAAGAGUCCAGGACUGACACUCUACCUAUCACCAAACCUAUCUGCCCUAUUUCCUAACUACUCCCCUAUAUAUGAGUUUAUGUGAAGCUACCUCUAGGUCAAAGGUUUUUAACCUUUUUUGGGUCAUCUAUCCUUUUGACAAUCUAGGGAAGCCUGGAGACCUCUUCUCAGAAUAAAGCUUUUAAAUGAUUUAAAAUAAAGUACAAAGGAUUACAAAAGAAAACUUAUUAUACCAUAUUGAAAUGCAGUUAUUGAAUUUUUUUAGUUCCUGUAUCCUAGGCUAAGAACCCCUGUUCUAGAGGUGUUGUUAUUUACUAAAAAGAGGUCAGGAGAAUGAAUUGAAGGAAGAGAUUUCCAUUCUAGUCCUGGCACCUUGGAUAAGUCACUUAAUAACUGUGUCAAUUGAUUCAUCUGUAAAAUAAAGGAGUAGGACUAGAUGAUGUCAUAAAUUCUUUCCCCUGUUUAAUGAAAGAAAUAGAGCCGAGGCCCUUCUGAGACCCCCUGAAGGGCAGGCUUAGGAGUUAAGAAACAUCCUCUUAAUUCCUGUCCUUGAGCCUAAGAUAUGCCAAAACCCUACUUUGUGUCCUUAAGAAACUUAGCUCAGAAGAUUUCAAGGGCAAUACUGCUGAGGCAAGGGAAACUGCAGCAGAAACUCAAGGAUGGAAUUUCCUUUGAAAACCUCUAGAAUCCCAAAUAGAGAGUUAAGUGCUAGGAUAUUUUUUUUUCACUACUGAUCCACCCUCUCUAGAAUUAUCUUAUUCCUUCUUCCCUCUCCUCCUCUGCUCCACUCCACUCAUUUGUGGAAUUACUUCCUAGCCCCCCCCCCUCCCCAAUCCCAAGCUAGUCCUGUUUUUAAAGGAAACUGUACUGUGCAGUUGAAUAAGUAAGCUCUGACUCCAAAGAGAAAAGACCUGGUUCAAACAUCAUCUCUGAAGGGUGCCACUAUGGCCCCUUAAGCAUGUCCCUUAACUUCCUUGGGUCUCAGUUCCCAGAUCUAAAAAUUAAGUGGGUUGGGCUAAAUGGCAUCAGAGAUUGCUUUCAGGUCAUUGAUUAUCUGUGAUCUUCUCAACAAAUAUAGAGGACAUAUAGAUUCAUCUAUGCGAGGAUUCUAGUAUAGACCAUGCUGAUGACCUAGGUUAUGAUUUGGUACUUUAAAAAUAAAAUUAGUACAAACGUCACCAGCCAAAGUUUCUCCAUUGAACCAGCCCCCUCUGCCCAUCUCACCUUUUCCUAGGAAUAAGCAAUAAUAAUCCUCCUUUUUUCUUUUUUCUUUUCUCUUUUCUUUUCAUAGCUCAUGUUGGGAAUAAAAAUGGAAAGUCAAAGUAAAUUAAAAGUCUAUAUACAGUGUUCUCUGUACAGAUAUAAGGGAUAACCUAGAGCGAAAUGCCCCUGGAAUACUGAUUCUGUGUAAUGAGGGAGUCCAGCUGGGUUAACAGGGUAAUUUAUGUCGACGAUCCGUCACAAGAAUUAUGUCCAUCCUUUUUUGUCAACAGCUUCCCUUACCCUGAUGUACAAUUAAGAGACUAGGAUAUUAGGUUCCCUUCAUUUAGUGAGGUCACAAGGUCACAGGCAGGGUUUUACUCCCACCACUGCAGUGAUUUAUUAUAGAAAUACAGAGCGGUGAGAGGAAGCCCACAGGCAGACGUCCAAGGAAACCAAACGAAAACAGAAUCUUCCCAAGGAUACAGCACUUCAGCUCCACUACUCUAAGGCUCUGGGAUUUUGUUGGUGUGGCUGCUCCCUCCACUGGAAGAGAUUGUGACCCUUCUAUGACUUAAUAGGAAAUUUCAUAAGCUGACGUAGCAAAAAAACAAAAACAAAAAAAAAAUCAGUUGGCGAUUAACUUAGUGAUGACGGGGCUCUCUCCCUUGGCUAGGCUAGUCCUCAAAUAAUAGACAUGCAGUCUGUCACCUGGAUGGCACAAACAAUUCCUUUCCAACAUAUCAGGUCUUGCCAGAGGACAAGCUCCAAUGACAGCCUUCAGGAACUAAGGGUCACCUCUAUGCCCCAGUGAACAGCUACCAGAGUGGAACUUGAGUGGAGGAAAUAACAUGGCAAUUAUCGUAAUGCUGCUGAGGCAAUCGAGCACUAUAGUGGAUAGUAUCCGACUUGAAGUUAGGAAAGACCAUAAAGUGCUACAUUUGGGUGAUAUCCGUCCAAGCCCAAAGCUAUCUCCCAAAGGCUUCUUCUAUCCCUCAACUACACAAAUCAAUCUGAGGUGAAUCAACAAGGUAAACAAAUUACAGGGGAAAUAAAGAGUCUGAUAUAAAUAGCUCUGAGAAUCCGCUGUAUUGGCUCCUAAUAACACCAACUCCUUUUCCAUAGACAAAUUCAUUAGGAGGCAACCUGAUUAACCUACAUGACAGAGAUACGAGUGAUUUAGUCUCCUGAAUUAUAUCACCAGAGAGACACUACCAUCCGGUUCUAUUUCUCUUGCUAGCACAUUGCUGACCUAUAAGAGAUUAGAACAUCAGCAUUACAUUAAAGUAUUAUAAAAAAAAAAGAAAAAACAAUUAGCAGGACCUGCGACAUAUUACAUACUCAGAGCCAAUGCUCUCCUCUUCCUGCGAGGAAAAUAAAUGCACCUUGGCUUCUGGGACUUUCUUGAUGCUUUAUUCUUUCACAUAGUUUAUGUAGUGGUGGCCCUUGAUGGCAAAGUAUAAUCAGAGCCAUUUUCCAAAUCCCUUGAAGAAAACAAAUGAAUAUACAUAAUCUCUCUCUGGUGUAGAGUGAAGUCCAUCUGUUCUCCCCUAAACUGCCAAGUCAGCACGAGUGUAAGCUGGCCAAACGGUGUCUCCUGCCAUAGAUAUUUGUGGUAAGCAAGAUGCCUCCAACCUGUUCUUGCUUGGGAUUAUUUCCCUUGUUGAUCUGGGUCAGAUUUUAGUGAUUUGGCAUUUUGAGGAUCUGGACAUCAUGGAGGAAAAAAAAAAAGAGGCGAGAUCAGUCUGUCAGCAAGCAAGAGACCCUCCAAGGAAGGGGGGCAUGUCACCAUCGGGUGGUGGUGUUUUAAAGUCUAUAAGUCAUGACUCCCUUCCAAGCCCUUAUCACAUCACUCCUGGACUGUGGCAAUAGCCUGUUGGGGGGUCUGCCUGCCUCUCCCCACUCUAAUCCUUCUUCUAUAUUCACCCACCAAAGUGAUUUUCCUUUACAGAAAUUACAGUUCUAUGUGUGCGUAUAUAGAUGGGGGGGGGGGGUGUAUGAUAUAUGCAUAUAAAUGCAUUUAACUACCUUUAGGUAUUUAAAUCUUUAGUUUGGGGACAAUUAACCUUUUCUGAGGCACCUGGAUGGGGCAGUGUCUAGAGUUCCACCUUGAGCUCAAAUCUGGCCAAGAGACCCUUAUUAGGUGGGUAAUUCUGAGUAUGUCAUUUAACUUCUGUUUUUCUCUAUUUCUUUACCUGUAAAAUAGGAAUCUUAGUAAUACCUACCUUCCAAGGUGGUUGUGACAAUUGACGGAGAUAAUAUUUGUAAAGUGCUUAGUAUGGUACCUGCUACAUAGUGGGUCCUUAAUAAAUAUUUGUUCUCUGCUCCUGCUUUUUUGUUUCUGGACCCCUCUGGCAGUCAGAAGUCUAGAGAUCCCUUCUAGAAUAAUAUCUUAAAAUAUAUAAACUAGAUAUAUUUAAAUAUAGUUAUGAAAAUAUGAAAAAAAAACCAACUUCACAGAUGCUGGGUUAAGAAUUCCUGUUUUUGAUUGCCUUUUACUUCUCCCACAGGGUUCGAGGGACCCUCUGGUGCCCAAGCUCAGACAGAGGCCCCCAAACCAAAGUCACCUGCCAUUUAUGAAAUGCCUGCUAUGUUAGACAAUGUGCUAAGCCCUGAGGGUUCAAAGGAAGGUAAAAACUAAAACACAACAAAACACUUGGGUUUUUUUUAUAGCUUUGAAGCCCCAGUCCUUAUCCUUUCCCAUGGAUAGCCUUUAUUAAAUUAAAAUAAUACAUGUGAGGAAUAAAAUGUCCAUAACUGAACUCAUGAUCCUCCCCCCUAAUCUCUUCCCUCCUCCUACCAUCUCUAUUACUAUAAAAGGCAACACCAUCAUCCCAUCCCUCAGACUCCCCAACCUUGAAGCCAUCCUGGGCUUCUCACUGUCUCUCAAAAUCCGACUGUCCCUUCCAAGUUCUUGCUAAGAACCAUCAGUUUCAUUUCUAAAUAUCUCUCAAAGAUGCUCCUUCUCUCCUCUGGCAUUACUGCCAAUUAGGCAAGCCCUUCUCACUCCACAAUUGGACUGCUGCACUAGCCUCCUGGCGGCUCUGCCUGCCUCUAGUCUCUCCCCACUCUAAUCCUUCCUCCAUUCAGCCAAGAAAAUGAUCUUCCUAAUCCUAUUAUAUUAAUUUAUAUUAUCAUGUAUCAAUCCACUGAGCUACCUAGCUACACCCUUUUUACAUAUAUAAUUUUCAUUUAUAUAUAUAACAUUAUAUUAUUUAUAUAUUAAUAUUUCUAUCUGCUGCAGGAUUAAAUUCAGAAUCCUCUAUUUGGCAUGCAAAGCCCUUCCUAACCUAGCUCUUCUACCUUUCCAGUCUUUUUUAUACUUAACUCCCUCAUUUGCAUUCUUUGAUUCAGGGAUGCUGGUUUCCCGAUUGUUCUAUGAAUAAGAACCUCCAUUUCUCAGUUUGAGGCAUUUUCCCUGGUUAUCCCCCAUGCCCGAAAUAUUCUCCCUCUUGAGCUCUGCCUAGAGGCUUCCUGGCUUCUUUUAAAUCCCAUUUACAGGGGGCAGCUGGGUAUCUCAGUGGAUUGAGAGCCAAAUCUAAAGAUGGGAGGUCCUAGGUUCAAAUCUGGCCUCAGACACUUCCUAGCUAUGUGACCCUGGGCAAGUCACUUAACCCUCAUUGCCUAGUCCUUAUCACUCUUCUGCCUUGGAGCCAAUACACAGUAUUGAUUCCACAACAGAAGGUAAGGGUAUAAAUAAGUAAAUAAAUGAAUGAAUGAAUGAAUGAAUCCCAUUUAUAAUGCUGAAAGACUUAUGACUGGGAAUGCUAUCUACCUCCAGAGAAAGAACUGUUGGAGUCGGAUGGCUACGGAUCAAAGCAGACUAUCUUUCACAUCAAAGCAUUUUAUUUUGGAGUUUUUGUUUUGUAUGAGUGUGCUCUUAUAACAAUGGACAAUAUGGAAGUAUGUUUUGCAUGAUAAUAAAAAUAAAAAUUUAAAAAUAAUAACAAAAACUUUAAAAAUCCCAUCUUCUACAGAAAGUCUUUCCCAAUCUUUCUUAAUGCUACUGCUUUUCUUCUCAUUUCCCAUUUUUCCUGCAUAUAGUGUAUUUGUACAUAUUUAUUGGCUUAUCUCCUCCAUUAGAUUGUAAGCCCUUUGAAGGCAGCAAUUGUCCUUUGCUUCUUUUUGUAUGUAUCCCUACAGUGCUUAUUGCAGGAACUGGCACAUAGAAGGUACUUUGUAAAUGUUGAUUAAUGAAAUGAAUUUUUCUAAUCAAUUGAUUUAUAUGUCCUUCAGAGGAUUUUAUAUUGUAUAUUGUGCCAGUGAAGUAUAUAUAGAAGAAUAGAUAUGAUGUUUCAGAUCAUUUCUACAACAAAGGAGAGCAUCCAAAGCUUGUUUGAGAAUGUACCUUCCUAUUGAAAUGUUGUUUCUCUGGUCAAAUUGGAUUCAGCAUAUAUGACUGAAUCUGUUUAAUUUACCAAGUCCAUUUUUCAGGAACAUGAGUUAGAGUCAUGCAGCACAAUUCUGUAAGAAUUGUGACAUAGAAGAGGCAGCUCAGUAGAUAGAGAGCCAGACCUAGAGACUAGAGGUAUUGGGUUCAAAUGUGAUCUCAGAUACUUCCUAGCUGUGUGUCCCUAAGCAAGUCACUUAAUUCAGUGCUCAAGGAAAUUCUAUUUUUUUUAACUUUUUUAGAUUUAGAAUUUUUUCCAUAGUUACAUGAUUUAUGUUCCCCCUUCCCUCCUCCUUCCUGGAGCUGAUAAGCAAUUCCAUUGGGUUAUACAUAUAUCAUUGUUCAAAACCUAUUUCUAUGUUAUUUAUAUUUGCAAUAGAGUGAUUUUUUAACCUCAAAAUCCAAUCAUAUCACCAUCAAACCAUGUGAUUGAUCAUAUGUUUUUUUCUGCGUUUCUGUUCCCACAGUUCUUUCUUUGGAUGUGGAUUAGUGUUCUUUCACAUGAGUCCCUCCGAAUUGUCCUGAAUCAUUGCAUUGCUGCUAGUAGAGAAUUCCAUUACAUUCAAUUGUACCACAGUGUAUCUGUCUCUGUAUAUAAUGUUCUACUGGUUCUGCUCCUCUCUCGCUCUGCAUCACUUCCUGGAGGUUGUUCCAGUCUCCAUGGAAUUCCUCCACUUUAUUAUUCCUUUUAGCACAAUAGUAUUCCAUCACCAACAUAUACCACAAUUUGUUCAGCCAUUCCCCAAUUGAAAGGCACCCCUUCAUUUUCUAAUUUUUGGCCACCACAAAGAGCGCAGCUGUGAAUAUUCUUGUACGAGUCUUUUUCUGUAUUAUCUCUCUGAGAUACAACCCCAACAGUGCUAUGGCUGGAUAAAAGGGCAGGCAGUCCUUUAAAGCCCUUUGGGCAUAAUUCCAAAUUGCCCUCCAGAAUGGUUGGACCAAUUCACAACUCCACCAACAGUGUAUUAGUGUCCCAAUUUUGCCACAUUCCCUCCAAUAUUUAUCACUUUCCUUUGCUGCCAUAUUGGCCAGUUCAAGGCAACCCUUAAGACUAUAAAUUGGUGGGGAAGCCAAGUAGCAGAAUGGAUAGAGCAACAGGCCUGGAGUUGGGAUGACCUAUGGCCUAGCUGUGUGACCUUGGACAAGUCACCUAACCCUGAUUGCCUAGCCCUGGCUGCUCUUCUGUCUUAGAAUUGAUGCUAAGACAGAAGGUAAGGGUUUUUUUAAGAAGAAGAAGAAAAAGAAGAAAGGAAGUAUAGAGUCUCUACUUGAGAUGGAUAGGAAGAUGUGGAUGGCAGAAAGAAGGAGGAACUACUGAAUUCCCAUUUUGCUUUGAUGAAGAACCUCUCCAGAAUGGUAAAUAUAGAAUGAACAUUGUUAACUAAGAACAGAAACUUGGAAUAUGAGAUGAGGAGGAAGUGACUAAAGAAACCUGACUUUCUUUAAAGAGUUCAAAAUAGUUGACAGUGACAAAAUUACAUCUCAAGUAUUGACAGAUUUUGCAGAUGGGAUUACCAACAACUUUGAGGAAUCAUGAAGAAUAAGAGAAAGAAAACAUCACACUGAUUUUUUUAAAAUGGCAUGAAGAUGGAUGGUUCAAACUCUAGCCCAGCAAGACCCAUGUCCAUUAUUAAUAUUUUUAACUAUAGGCUGGAUAUAAAUGAAUGUAUGUGUAAGAGCAGAAAAGGGGAAGAGGUGAUCAUUGAAAUUCAGCAUGGCAUAACAGUCAUGAAGAACACAUACUAGCAUCAUUUCCUUUUUUGAUAGAAUUUCUAUUAUGUAUGUUCAGAGAAACUGCACACAUAUAAUAUAUCUGCAAUAUAUUUGACAAAGUCUCUCACAGUAAUCUUUUCCAAAAAAAAUGGAGAAGUAUAUGCUAGUACAGUGAGGUAGAGUUGGAAUUAGUUAAAUGACUGGGACCAAGUUUGAUGACAACCUGGAUACCAAUCCAUUAUUCAUAUUCUGUUCAAAUUUAGUGACUUGAACUAAUAAGAUAUAUUUAUCAGAUCAGCAUGUGAGAUAAAGCUACAAAGGCUAGCUCAUGCAUUUAGAUGAUCUUUUAGGAUUCUGGGGAUUUUUUUCUCCAAAGAAGAGGUGAUUGGAGGCACAUGAUUGAUCUGAAUUCAGAUUAGCUUAUAAACUUAAAGUUAGGAGGACUCUUAAAGGUCAACUCCUUCAUUCUACAGAUGAGGAAACCAAGACUCAGAAGGGUUGAGUGAUUUGCCCAAGGUCACAAAGGUAUAAAGUGGUAGAAUCAAAAUUCAAACCCAGGUCCUCUGACUCCAAUUCCAGUGAACUUUCUGUUAUUCUAGGAGGUUUCUCAUGGUGUUUCUUGUAGAUAAGGGAUUAGGCUUAUUGUACGUGGCCCUAAAGAUGAGAACUACAACCAGUGGAUAGAAGCUACAGAAGGCAAGUUUAAGUCCCUAUAUAAGAAAAAACUCCUCUAUUAAAACUAACAAGAAAAGGAAUGAGUCAUGUCAGGAAACAAUGAGUUUCCCACUGUUGUAGGUAUUGAAGUAAAGAACAUUAUAAAGAGAACUCAUGUUCCAGAUGAGCAUGCUACAGGCUGGAUUAAUGAUCUUCCUAACACUGGUAUGCUUGGAUUUUUAUAUUCUUUCAUUUAGGGACAGCAAGGUAUUUCCCUUAAUGCACUUCAUAGUUAAAAGUUAUUUCUAAUUCUGUACCCUAUUACUAAAAGGAAUGUGGAAAAAAUUCAAGGAUGAAUUAAAAUGACAAAAUUGCUAGAAUAUAGGCCAUAGAGUUAGAGCUAGAAGGGACCCAUGACAUGAUCAAAUCCAAACCCUUCACUUUACACUUAGGGAAAAUGAAACACAAAGGGAUAAAAUGUCUUAUCCAACGUCAGAUAAUUAAUGUGUCUAAAGGUAUAUUUAACUUCAGUUCUCCCUAUUUCCAAAUCCUUUCUCUGACCACUAUGCCACAUUGACACAAUAAUGCCUAAGGAAUUUGUGUUUCCAAGUAUGAAGAAGAGGAGGCCAAUGAAUUGAUCCUUCGCAUAAUUUUCUUCAUGUGGUAGACAAGGGUCAGGCAGAAGAAGGCUGAGGAAGCAAGUAUAGGGUCUUCUGAAGAGCCUCAUCAUACUAGGAAUUGUGUACUAAAGAAAAAUAUGGGACUUGGGAGGGAGAAAAGGCAAAGAUAUUGACUCUACAUUCAAUAAAUAAUUUCCAGGGACUGGAUUUAUGGAAAUCUACACAUGAAGGAGACAAUCAUUUUGAGAGUCAAAAGGAUAGGUAGUGGUGUCUAAUUAGUGAGAUCUAGAAAGAGUCCAUUUUAAGGUUUAGAAUAAGGGAUCUAUCUAGUUAUACUGGUGGCCAAUUUUAACACAUCUGUGAAGCAUGACUGGCCACCAGCAUCCACACUCUGCAUCUGCUGAUGCUAGGACCUUGCUCCUUUAUGAACAUGAUUGAUAAUUCUUCAUAUCUCAACUUAAACUUAAGUUUUAGGGAUUUGGUCUACCUAUAAAGAAGAACAUUCUACUAGUAUGGAUAUGGUGUAUACUAGUAUACAGUGAAAAAGAUUAUCCAAGAAUCCAAUGAAAUUUCUUCUGGAGGUCUUUUU